rnacentral:lncRNA from 1 species
GUGAAUUUACCACCGGAAACUUACCUUUCAAACCUUUAUCCACAUCAGAGUAACAUAAAGUUAUCUUCCAUGCUCAAAGCCAUUGAGCCGAGGCUGCUCCUCAUUUCGAAAGCCUCUGAGUCUAUGCCUGCCAUUAGCUCCACAGUCAACAUCUCUGCUUCCCUGGACUUCAUAUAUUCACUCAAUACUCUAACUGAUGCCCAGACUGGCCUUCAUUUCCUGGCCAUAAGAAAAUGCUUGAUUAAUAUAGACAAAAUCUCCAUAUCCUUGUUGACC